AAUACCACCAUUUCUAGGCAUUUAAAUGAACACAUCAAGAGAAUUAAAUCCAAAAGAUAACAGAAUAAUAAUUACCAAACAAACAUCAAAUUCAAACCACUAUUUUCCUCUUUUUUUUAAUUUCCUAUCCCUCUCCCGUUCUCAUCAUUUCAAUUUUUCUCCUAUGUUUCUAGCAUAUCUCUGUUGUCCUCUCUUCAUAGUUGUCCACUUAAUAAUUCCAUCAUUUCGUCUGAU
rnacentral:lncRNA from 1 species